UCCACACCGUAAANGAUGAACACUAGGUGUUAGAGGGUUUCCGCCCUUUAGUGCNGAAGUUAACGCAUUAAGUGUUCCGCCUGGGGAGUACGACCGCAAGGUUGGAACUCAAAGGAAUUGACGGGGACCCGCACAAGCGGUGGAGCAUGUGGUUUAAUUNGAAGCAACGCGAAGAACCUUACCAGGUCUUGACAUCCUUUGAAGGUACUAGAGAUAGUACUGUUUUCUUCGGAAACAAAGUGACAGGUGGUGCAUGGCCGUCGUCAGCUCGUGUCGUGAGAUGUUGGGUUAAGUCCCGCAACGAGCGCAACCCUUAUGUUUAGUUGCCAGCAUUCAGUUGGGCACUCUAGACAGACUGCCGGUGACAAACCGGAGGAAGGCGGGGACGACGUCAGGUCAUCAUGCCCCUUAUGACCUGGGCUACACACGUGCUACAAUGGCGUAUACAACGAGCAGCGAACUCGCGAGGGUAAGCGAAUCUCUUAAAGUACGUCUCAGUUCGGAUUGUAGUCUGCAACUCGACUACAUGAAGUCGGAAUCGCUAGUAAUCGCGGAUCAGCAUGCCGCGGUGAAUACGUUCCCGGGUCUUGUACACACCGCCCGUCACACCAUGGGAGUUUGUAAUGCCCAAAGCCGGUGGCCUAACCUUUUGGAAGGAGCCGUCUAAGGCAGGACAGAUGACUGGGGAGAAGUCGUAACAAGGUAGCCGUAGGAGAACCUGCGGCUGGAU
rnacentral:rRNA from 1 species